rnacentral:misc_RNA from 1 species
UCUCCGUAGGUGAACCUGCGGCUGGAUCAUUACUGAGCGAGGGUCUCCGGGCCCGACCUCCAACCCUUUGUGAAUCGUACUCGUUGCUUCGGGGGCGACCCUGCCGUCCGCGGCUGAGCGCCCCCGGGGUCAAUCAAACACUGCAUUCUCUGCGUCGGAGUAUUAGUAAAUCUAAACAAAACUUUCAACAACGGAUCUCUUGGUUCUGGCAUCGAUGAAGAACGCAGC